rnacentral:rRNA from 1 species
GAUUAACGCUGGCGGCGUGCAUGAGACAUGCAAGUCGAACGGACGAGUGGGCUUGCUCACUCGUUAGUGGCGGACGGCUGAGUAACGCGUAGGUGACCUGCCCCGAAGUGGGGAAUAACUGCCCGAAAGGGUGGCUAAUACCGCAUGUGGUGCCACGUUCAUUCGUGUCUCCAAAGCCGCAAGGCGCUUCGGGAGGGGCCUGCGUCCGAUUAGCUCGUUGGUGGGGUAAUGGCUCACCAAGGCGACGAUCGGUAGGUGGUCUGAGAGGACGAUCACCCAGACUGGGACUGAGACACGGCCCAGACUCCUACGGGAGGCAGCAGUCGGGAAUUUUGCUCAAUGGGCGCAAGCCUGAAGCAGCAACGCCGCGUGGGGGAUGACGGCCUUCGGGUUGUAAACCUCUUUUCCCGGGGACGAUAAUGACGGUACUCGGGGAAUAAGUCACGGCUAACUACGUGCCAGCAGCCGCGGUAAUACGUAGGUGACGAGCGUUGUCCGGAUUUACUGGGCGUAAAGAGCGCGCAGGCGGUCGUACAAGUCGAGUGUGAAAUCCCCCGGCUCAACUGGAGAACGUCGCUCGAUACUGUUCGACUUGAAGGCGGGAGAGGGAAGCGGAAUUCCCGGUGUAGUGGUGAAAUGCGUAGAUAUCGGGAGGAACACCAGUGGCGAAGGCGGCUUUCUGGCCCGUUCUUGACGCUGAGGCGCGAAAGCUAGGGUAGCAAACGGGAUUAGAUACCCCGGUAGUCCUAGCCGUAAACGAUGGACACUAGGUGUUGGUGGUAUCAACCCCGCCAGUGCCGAAGCUAACGCAUUAAGUGUCCCGCCUGGGGAGUACGGCCGCAAGGCUA